AUUGAACGCUGGCGGCAUGCUUUACACAUGCAAGUCGAACGGUAACAGGGUGCUUGCACCGCUGACGAGUGGCGAACGGGUGAGUAAUGCGUCGGAACGUGCCGAGUAGUGGGGGAUAACGCAUCGAAAGGUGUGCUAAUACCGCAUACGUACUGAGGUAGAAAGUGGGGGACCUUCGGGCCUCACGCUAUUCGAGCGGCCGACGUCUGAUUAGCUAGCUGGUGAGGUAAAGGCUCACCAAGGCGACGAUCAGUAGCGGGUCUGAGAGGAUGAUCCGCAACACUGGGACUGAGACACGGCCCAGACUCCUACGGGAGGCAGCAGUGGGGAAUUUUGGACAAUGGGCGCAAGCCUGAUCCAGCCAUGCCGCGUGUCUGAAGAAGGCCUUCGGGUUGUAAAGGACUUUUGUCCGGGAGCAAAUACCCAGUGCUAAUAACGCUGGGGGCUGAGAGUACCGGAAGAAUAAGCACCGGCUAACUACGUGCCAGCAGCCGCCGUAACAC
rnacentral:rRNA from 1 species